rnacentral:rRNA from 1 species
UACGGAGGAUCCGAGCGUUAUCCGGAUUUAUUGGGUUUAAAGGGUGCGUAGGUGGUUUGAUAAGUCAGCGGUGAAAGUUUGCAGCUUAACUGUAAAAAUGCCGUUGAAACUGUCGGACUUGAGUGUAAAUGAGGUAGGCGGAAUGCGUGGUGUAGCGGUGAAAUGCAUAGAUAUCACGCAGAACUCCGAUUGCGAAGGCAGCUUACUAAGCUACAACUGACACUGAAGCACGAAAGCGUGGGGAUCAAAC